rnacentral:rRNA from 1 species
CCCAGACUCCUACGGGAGGCAGCAGUGGGGGAUAUUGCACAAUGGGGGGAACCCUGAUGCAGCGACGCCGCGUGGGUGAAGGAGCGUUUCGGCGCGUAAAGCCCUAUCGGCAGGGAAGAAGGAGGACGGUACCUGACUAAGAAGCCCCGGCUAACUACGUGCCAGCAGCCGCGGUAAUACGUAGGGGGCAAGCGUUAUCCGGAUUUACUGGGUGUAAAGGGGGCGCAGACGGCAGCGCAAGCCAGGAGUGAAAGCCCGGGGCCCAACCCCGGGACUGCUCUUGGAACUGCGCGGCUGGAGUGCAGGAGGGGCAGGCGGAAUUCCUGGUGUAGCGGUGAAAUGCGUAGAUAUCAGGAGGAACGCCGGUGGCGAAGGCGGCCUGCUGGACUGCGACUGACGUUGAGGCCCGAAAGCGUGGGGAGCAAACAGGAUUAGAUACCCCCGUAA